rnacentral:rRNA from 1 species
GAUGAACGCUAGCGGCAGGCUUAACACAUGCAAGUCGAGGGGUAGGUUACUUCGGUAAUUGAGACCGGCGCACGGGUGCGUAACGCGUAUACAAUCUACCUUUUACAGAGGGAUAGCCCAGAGAAAUUUGGAUUAAUACCUCAUAGUAUUUUUGAAUCGCAUGAUUUGAUUAUUAAAGUUCCAACGGUAAAAGAUGAGUAUGCGUCCCAUUAGCUAGAUGGUAAGGUAACGGCUUACCAUGGCUACGAUGGGUAGGGGUCCUGAGAGGGAGAUCCCCCACACUGGUACUGAGACACGGACCAGACUCCUACGGGAGGCAGCAGUGAGGAAUAUUGGACAAUGGGCGCAAGCCUGAUCCAGCCAUGCCGCGUGCAGGAAGAAGGGUCCUAUGGAUUGUAAACUGCUUUAUACAGGAAGAAACACUCCCUCGUGAGGGAACUUGACGGUACUGAUGAAUAAGCAAUCGGCC